ensembl:lncRNA
CGCCGUCUUCCCGACGUGCCAGCGAAGCCUCCAGAUUUGAAAAUCAAUUCAGCGUCGGGCGUAAUCGUGCCCUACCACAGUGACGCUCCAAUCCGGGAUGGACCCUGGUCCCAGGUCUGGUAGGGACUCGUGGGGAGGCCCCCAGUGCGGGGCUAUACCCGACCACCACAUGCCUUGGCUUUCUUUCAUUGACAAAAGAGAGAAAAAAUCCGUAACAAAAGGCAGAGCCGUGUCGCUUAGGUGCUUUCAUCCCCUUGGAGAAAGGACAGAUGUGCCCAUUGUCCCGGCCCUUGGCAGUUACGGCCGGGUCAGCGCCGAGCCUCAGCCCAGAGCGAGCGCGUUCACAAUGGGGACAGGAGCCCAUCGGCCCAGUCCCGGGAGGAAGUGUGUGUGGCCUCGCUGCUGGGCCAGCGCAGAUGCGGACUGGGUUGUUAGAACCGGGCCGGGGCCCAGCAGCCUAUGUUUCCGCUUCGGAUGUUCCUAGACCCUGAGAGGCAGGGGCUGAGUUGGCAGCGGUGGCGGUGCCUAGACCACAGGACAAAUGUUUGGGAGGAGCCCCUUGGCCGGGUCCCCACCAGGUAGGGCGGGAGCAGCCCAUCGCUCUGUCCGGGUCCUGUCACUGCCAGGCAGCACCAUGAGCCAGGUGGAUCAAGGUCGGGGUAUUCUGGGCUGGCUAAUCUGGCUGGCUGGGACCCACACUCUGGUCCUGUCUCAGUCACGUGUCUGGAGGCCCCGAAAGGGGGUCCCUCCCAAGGGACAUUUAGGAGCUCGGAGUCUUGCUCCUCCGGAGGAAAAGGCUUUGGGGAACAUACACGGGCCAAAAUGAACUCAGGAAACAAAACGACUGUAUUUCAACUUAUCUCUAUAUCCACCUCUUCAUACACACAAAUAUUGAAAACUCAGGCCUCCAAAUCCCAGAGAGAAGAUUCUGUGCGAAGGAUGGGCAGCUCUGCCAACAAGAGCAGCUCACUUCAGAGGCCCAGGACCUGCUGAGAUCGAUCGCCAAGGGGCUUCGGAGAGGCCUGGGCAAUUGGCUGCACCCCGGGUGCUUUCUGGGCUGAGGAGGAUGCUCUGCUCUCCCAGGCCCUGGGUGACCCACAGGCGGCUGCUCCUGGGUUGCCCACCUUGGUGAGGGCUGGUCAAGGCUCUGGUCCCAGAGUGCUGGAGGAAGAGGGGGUCCUGAGGAGUCUUUGCAUGGAGGGGGGCGUUCCUUAGGGUCCCGCACUGAACUGGGGGUCCCAUUGGCAGCCACCAGCUGUCAGUGGUGUUUCUUCUGUGGUCAUGCCUGUGUAUCAUGGAAAUGUGUCACGAAGGAGCCAGCCCGGGCUGUGGGAGGCGGGGAAGUGUCAUGCUUCCCUUUCAGGGCCUGGCAUUUGGGGCUGCGGCUCCUGAUUAGCCCUGGGCCGGGCUGGAAAGGACUGGCUUCCUGCUGUUCAAUAAGGGGAAUUUGGAGGGGUGCAGGGGCAGUGUCACCCUUGAGGUCUCCAGGCACAGCUCCUACUCCGGAGGUCUGUGGAAGGCUGGAGCCUGGCUCCCGGGCCGGCCCGGAUGCUGUGUGCUGAGCGCACUGUGAGGGGUGAGGCUGACGGCCGAGAGCAGCUGCACCCGGGAAGGAAACUCUUUAAACAAAUCAUUUUGGUGUCUAAUCAAUUAGUGUUUGCGCAGUCAAGUACCAUAGAUUUAACAGAAUAAUCGUUAUUGUCCUUGUCUUUAUUUGACCCACAGACACCUAGAAGAUUUAAAAAUAAAACCCCGGUGUUCCAGGCUCCUCGCCCGCCCCUGGCCUGCGCCUCUCUCCCGCGCCACUUGCCGGGCCUGGCUGGCUGCCUGCUCCUCCUCCCCCCUCUGGAACAGUGCAGUUCCACUCUCUCUUUCGGGGUAGGCGCCUUGCGCUGUCCCCUUUGGCCUCAGCACCAUCCAGGCGUGGGAUUAUGGAGUCGGCGGGCGUCCUCGUCUCUCUGGCC